GUGCAGGGUUUCAGGAGGGAGGCACAAGGUGGGAGCAAGUGAUUCAGGUCUCCCCUCUCAGUAUCCUCAUCCACAGAAUGAGGGAGCCCAUCUCCAAUAUCUCCAGGAUCCCUUCCAACUAUCCAGUCUAGCCUUCUGACAAAUUCUUCAUAUUAAGGCAGUGGGAUCCCCACAGCUAAGUGUGUUUCCUCAUUUGUCUUUCAGCAAGUGCUUGGAGCCAAAAGGAGACCCGCUGCCCUGCCCACUGUGAGCAAUCAGGUGCUCUGCUGGGUGGCCCUUUGUCACCUGGGAGCAGGCACCACGGACAGUGGAAUCACUCAGAGCGCAGAAUAUCUGUUCAGAGAGGAAGGAUCGAGAUGUGACCCCGGAAUGUGAAUAGAAUUUUAAUUACAGCACCAUGUACUAAUACCGACAAGAUCAUGGACAAGAGCUGAGACUCAUCUGCUACUCACAGGCUGUAAAUGCUGUUUAGAAAGGAGAUGUAUCUGAAGGCUACAGUGCUUCUCAGGAGAAGAAGGCAUUCUUUCCUCUCACUGUGAAACUGACUCCAAAGAACCAGACAUCCCUGUAUCUCUGUGCCAGUAGUAGAG
rnacentral:lncRNA from 1 species